rnacentral:lncRNA from 1 species
AAGCCCAAAGUAAAAAAACUACAUAUCUCUUCCAUAAUUACGCAAAUAUUGUUCAAACGGAUAAAUUGUAAUCACACAUAUACAUAAACUACAAGUAUAUGAUGGGUAAUUCAGGUACCAGGUAUCAAUACCGGAAUCAAUUUUUGAUACGUAUCGAGUUACUAUCUAAAAUUGUAAUCGAUCCGGUAUUCCAGGUACGGGUAGUUUGAGGCCGAAUGAUAAUUUAGGUUUGAGAAAUCAAAAUUUGAUAUCGAGUUACUAUCUAAAAUUUUGAUCGGGUAUUUCAGGUAAAGGUAAUUUGAGACCAAAUAAUAAUUUGGGUUUGCGAAUGGAUAUGCCUCUCUCCCCCCACCCCAACACACACACAUCCUCUUGUUUAGUUCCCACCAAAAUCCAAAAAAUUUUCAAAAUUGCCCGUCACAUCAAAUCUUAAGGCACAUGCAUGGAGCAUUAAAUAUAGAUAAAAACAAAAAAUAAUUAUAUAGUUUGUCUGUAAAUUGCGAGACAAAAUCUUUUAAGCCUAGUUACUUUAUGAUUGGACAAUGUUUGUCAAAUAAAAAUAAAAGUGCUAUAGUUGCGAAAUCCAAAAAUUUUUCACAACUAAACAACACGCAAA